rnacentral:rRNA from 1 species
AACGAACGCUGGCGGCGCGCCUAAUACAUGCAAGUCGAACGAGAAGGUGUAGCAAUACACUUGUACAGUGGCGAACGGGUGAGGAAUGCAUGGGCGAACCUACCCUCGAGUGGGGAAUAACCAGCCGAAAGGUUGGCUAAUACCGCGUACGCUUCCGGGUCUCCGGAUCCGGAAGGAAAGUCACACCGUGGGUGUGACGCUCAAGGAUGGGCUCAUGUCCUAUCAGCUUGUUGGUGAGGUAACGGCUCACCAAGGCAACGACGGGUAGCUGGUCUGAGAGGACGAUCAGCCACACUGGCACUGCGACACGGGCCAGACUCCUACGGGAGGCAGCAGUAAGGAUAUUGCGCAAUGGGCGAAAGCCUGACGCAGCGACGCCGCGUGGGGGGUGAAGGUC